rnacentral:rRNA from 1 species
AGUGAACGCUGGCGGUAGGCCUAACACAUGCAAGUCGAACGGCAGCACAGUAAGAGCUUGCUCUUACGGGUGGCGAGUGGCGGACGGGUGAGGAAUACAUCGGAAUCUACUUUUUCGUGGGGGAUAACGUAGGGAAACUUACGCUAAUACCGCAUACGACCUACGGGUGAAAGCAGGGGAUCUUCGGACCUUGCGCGAUUGAAUGAGCCGAUGUCGGAUUAGCUAGUUGGCGGGGUAAAGGCCCACCAAGGCGACGAUCCGUAGCUGGUCUGAGAGGAUGAUCGGCCACCCUGGAAGUGAGCCACGGUCCAGACUCCUACGGGAGGCAGCAGUGGGGAAUAUUGGACAAUGGGCGCAAGCCUGAUCCAACCAUACCGCGUGGGUGAAGAAGGCCUUCGGGUUGUAAAGCCCUUUUGUUGGGAAAGAAAAGCAGCAGGUUAAUACCCCGCUGUUCUGACGGUACCCAAAGAAUAAGCACCGGCUAACUUCGUG